UACGUAGGGCGCAAGCGUUGUCCGGAAUUAUUGGGCGUAAAGAGCUUGUAGGUGGCUUGUCGCGUCUGCCGUGAAAACCCGAGGCUCAACCUCGGGCGUGCGGUGGGUACGGGCAGGCUAGAGUGUGGUAGGGGAGACUGGAACUCCUGGUGUAGCGGUGAUAUGCGCAGAUAUCAGGAAGAACACCGAUGGCGAAGGCAGGUCUCUGGGCCAUUACUGACACUGAGAAGCGAAAGCAUGGGGAGCGAACAGGAUUAGAACU
rnacentral:rRNA from 1 species